AACGCACCUUGCGCCCUAUGGUAUUCCGUAGAGCAUGCCUGUUUGAGUGUCAUGAAAACAAUCAACCUUGACUUUGGUUUCAUUACCAUUGGCCUGGCUUGGACUUGGGUGUCUGCCGAUCUCAUGAUCGGCUCACCUUAAAUGAAUUAGCUGGACUUGUUUGUGAGGAUUGGUUCGACUUGGCGUAAUAAGUAUUUCGUCAAGGACAUCGCUUUGGUGAUGGCCGAUCUUCUCGACGACUGUCUGCUUUCCAACCCGUCUUCUGUCUUCCUGGACAUUUGACAUCUUCAUGAUCUGGCCUCAAAUCAGGUAGGACUACCCGCUGAACUUAA
rnacentral:misc_RNA from 1 species